UACGGGAGGCAGCAGUGAGGAAUAUUGCCCAAUGGGCGAAAGCUUGAGGCAGCAAUGCCGCGUGUGGGAAGAAGGCCUUCGGGUUGUAAACCACUUUUGUACGGAACGAAAAGGUCUGCCCUAAUGCGGUGGGCCCAUGACGGUACCGUAAGAAUAAGCACCGGCUAACUACGUGCCAGCAGCCGCGGUAAUACGUAGGGUGCGAGCGUUAAUCGGAAUUACUGGGCGUAAAGCGUGCGCAGGCGGCUCUUUAAGUCAGAUGUGAAAGCCCCGGGCUUAACCUGGGAACUGCGUUUGAAACUGGAGAGCUGGAGUGUGGCAGAGGGAGGUGGAAUUCCACGUGUAGCAGUGAAAUGCGUAGAGAUGUGGAGGAACACCGAUGGCGAAGGCAGCCUCCUGGGCCAACACUGACGCUCAUGCACGAAAGCGUGGGGAGCAAACAGGAUUAGAUACCCUGGUAGUCCACGCCCUAAACGAUGUCAACUGGUUGUUGGGAAGGGAAACUUUCUUAGUAACGAAGCUAACGCGUGAAGUUGACCGCCUGGGGAGUACGGCCGCAAGGUUAAAACUCAAAGGAAUUGACGGGGA
rnacentral:rRNA from 1 species